AAUGAACGCUGGCGGCAGGCCUAAAACAUGCAAGUCGAACGCCCUAGCAAUAGGGAGUGGCGCACGGGUGAGUAACAUGUGGGAAUAUGCCUUUUGGUACGGAACAACGUUUGGAAGCGAACGCUAAUACCGUAUGGUCCCUCCGGGGUAAAGAUUUAUCGCCAAAAGAUUAGCCCGCACUAGAUUAGCUAGUUGGUAAGGUAAUGGCUUACCAAGGCGACGAUCUAUAGCUGUUCUGAGAGGAAGAUCAGCCACACUGGGACUGAGACACGGCCCAGACUCCUACGGGAGGCAGCAGUUAGGAAUAUUGGACAAUGGGCGCAAGCCUGAUCCAGCCAUGCCGCGUGAGUGAUGAAGGCCUUAGGGUUGUAAAGCUCUUUCAGUGGGGAAGAUAAUGACGGUACCCACAGAAGAAGCCCCGGCUAACUUCGUGCCAGCCGCCGCCGUAAUAC
rnacentral:rRNA from 1 species